GUUGGUGUAGCUCAGUGGUAGAGUGGAUGCUCUGUAUGUAAGAUGUCCAGGGUUCAAUGCCCAGGGUUCAAUG